rnacentral:rRNA from 1 species
GACGAACGCUGGCGGCGUGCUUAACACAUGCAAGUCGAACGGAAAGGCCCUGCUUUUGUGGGGUGCUCGAGUGGCGAACGGGUGAGUAACACGUGAGUAACCUGCCCUUGACUUUGGGAUAACUUCAGGAAACUGGGGCUAAUACCGGAUAGGAGCUCCUGCUGCAUGGUGGGGGUUGGAAAGUUUCGGCGGUUGGGGCUGGACUAGCGGCUUAUCAGCUUGUUGGUGGGGUAGUGGCUUAUCAAGGCUUUGACGGGUAGCCGGCCUGAGAGGGUGACCGGCCACAUUGGGACUGAGAUACGGCCCAGACUCCUACGGGAGGCAGCAGUGGGGAAUAUUGCACAAGGGGCGGAAGCCUGAUGCAGCAACGCCGCGGGCGGGAUGACGGCCUUCGGGUUGUAAGCCGCUUUCGCCUGUGACGAAGCGUGAGUGGCGGUAAUGGGUAAAGAAGCACCGGCUAACUACGUG